CGCUCUUUGAAAAUAAAAAAUAAAGAGUCAAGCCUGCCCAGUGAUGAAUAUUUAACGGCCGCGGUACUCUGACCGUGCAAAGGUAGCAUAAUCAUUUGCCUUAUAAUUGAAGGCUAGUAUGAAUGGUUUGACGAAAACAAUACUGUCUCUUUUUAAUUUUAUAAAAUUUGAUUUUUAGGUGAAGAAGCCUAAAUAAAAUUGAAAGACAAGAAGACCCUAUCGAGCUUAAAAAAAUUUUAUUAAAAUAAGAUGACUAUAAAAGAUCCCUUAUAAUAAAAAAUUUUAGUUGGGGCGACUAAGGAACAAAAAAGCUUCCGUUUUAACAUAAGUGCUCAUUAGCUAUGAUCCAAAAUUUUUGAUUAAAAAAAUUAGCUACCGUAGGGAUAACAGCAUAAUCUUUUUUGAGAGUUCUUAUCGAAAAAUAGGUUUGUGACCUCGAUGUUGGACUAGAAUAUCCUGAAUGAUGCAGAAGUCUUUAAGGGUUGGUCUGUUCGACCACUAAUAUUCUACGUGAUCUGAGUUCAGACCGG
rnacentral:rRNA from 1 species